UUGGGUUAAGUUAUUAAGGGCUUACGGUGGAUGCCUAGGCGCCAGAAGACGAUGAAGGGCGUAGUGAGCUGCGAAAAGCCUCGGGGAGCCGCAAACAGGCUUAGAUCCGGGGAUUCCCGAAUGGGGCAACCUACUGCGAGUAAUGUCGUAGUAUCCAUGGCUGAAUAUAUAGGUCAUGGAAGUCAUACCCGGGGAACUGAAACAUCUUAGUACCCGGAGGAAAAGAAAGCAAACGCGAUUCCCUCAGUAGCGGCGAGCGAACGGGGAACAGCCCAAACCGUAGCGAUGUUAAAGCUUACCGGCGUUGUCGUUACGGGGUUGCGGGGCGUUUUUUAGCCGGGCGGUAGACCGGCUGGCAAGUUACAAAUCCUUUUAGUAGGCGAAAUUUCUGGAAAGUUAUACCGUAGAAGGUAAUAGUCCUGUAGCCGAAAUUAAAAGGACUUGCUUAAAGCGUUCCCAAGUAUCACGGGGCACGUGGAAUCCCGUGUGAAUCCAGGAGGACCACCUCCUAAGGCUAAAUACUAGCUGGCGACCGAUAGUGAAGCAGUACCGUGAGGGAAAGGUGAAAAGUACCCCGGAAGGGGAGUGAAAUAGUACCUGAAACCGUAAGCCUACAAGCAGUGGAAGCACUAUUUACAACAGCCUAGCUGUUGUAAAGUGUGACUGCGUACUUUUUGUAGAACGGGCCGGCGAGUUACGUUCGGUAGCAAGGUUAAGGGACAAAGUCCCGGAGCCGUAGCGAAAGCGAGUCUGAAAAGGGCGUUUAGUUACCGGACGUAGACCCGAAACCGGGUGACCUACCUAUGGCCAGGGUGAAGCUCGUUUAAACGCGAGUGGAGGCCCGAACCCACCGAUGUUGAAAAAUCGGGGGAUGAGCUGUGGGUAGAGGUGAAAUGCCAAUCGAACCCGGAUAUAGCUGGUUCUCCCCGAAAUAGCUUUAGGGCUAGCCUCAAGUAAUAAGAGCUGGGGGUAGAGCACUGAUUGGGCUAGGGGCCCUACAAGGUUACCGAAUUCAGUCAAACUCCGAAUACCAGUUCUCGUAUCUUGGGAGUCAGACUAUGGGAGAUAAGUUUCAUAGUCGAGAGGGAAACAGCCCAGAUCAUCGGCUAAGGUCCCAAAGUGCAGGCUAAGUGGGAAAGGAUGUGGAAACGCUUAGACAACCAGGAUGUUGGCUUAGAAGCAGCCACCAUUUAAAGAGUGCGUAAUAGCUCACUGGUCAAGUAUUUCUGCGCCGAAAAUGUAACGGGGCUAAAGCCUGCCACCGAAGCCAUGGCUUACUGGAAGUUGGAAGUUAGAAGUUAGAAAUUGGAGGAAUGGAUAAUGGUGAUCCAAGGCUAUAGGGAUUUAAACGUAUAUAAACGUUCCUAUCACCUGGCAUUGGAUAUUCACCGGUUAUCCUUCACACUGCCAACGAGUGAGAGAUAUGAACUAAGCAGUCAAAUACGUCGCUCAGCAGUAAGUAUUCCUCUAAAUAUAGCUGAUCGAGAAUUGGCGUAAUCAAACCUCUAAAUAAUAUCUAACUUCUAACCUCUAACCUCUAACUUCCAGUAGGGGUAGGGGAGCGUUCUGGCGGCAUCGAAGCUGUACCGUAAGGAGCAGUGGAGCUUCCAGAAGUGAGAAUGCCGGCAUGAGUAACGAUAAGGCAAGUGAGAAUCUUGCCCGCCGAAAGCCUAAGGUUUCCUGAGGAAGGUUCGUCCUCUCAGGGUAAGUCGGGACCUAAGCUGAGGCCGAAAGGCGUAAGCGAUGGACAACUGGUGGAAAUUCCAGUACCACCUUCAGCCGCUAGGAGCGAUGGGGUGACGCAGGAGGGUAGGCGCAGCGCACCGUUGGUUGUGUGCGUCUAAGCGUGUAGGGAGCAGAGAUAGGCAAAUCCGUCUCUGUGUAAUCCUGAGGCGCGAUGGGGAGCGAAAUUUUAAGUAGCGAACUGGCUGAUCCCAUACUGCCAAGAAAAACCUCUAGCCAGGCUGCAGGGUGCCCGUACCGCAAACCGACACAGGUAGGCGAGGAGAGAAUCCUAAGGCGAGCGGGAGAACCCUCGUUAAGGAACUCGGCAAAAUUACCCCGUAACUUCGGGAGAAGGGGUGCCCCGUGUAGGGUGAUUUUUGAACGGGGACGGACCUACUUGAAUAUGCCCUUAAUUCAAGUAGGGAUGAGAUAUUCAAGUAGGUCCGUCCCCGAACCGAAAUUUGCCUGAGGGGGCCGCAGUGAAUAGGCCCAAGCGACUGUUUAGCAAAAACACAGGUCUCUGCUAAGUCGUAAGACGACGUAUAGGGGCUGACGCCUGCCCGGUGCUGGAAGGUUAAGGGGAGGGGUUAGUGGGUAACCGCGAAGCUCUGAACCUAAGCCCCAGUAAACGGCGGCCGUAACUAUAACGGUCCUAAGGUAGCGAAAUUCCUUGUCGGGUAAAUUCCGACCCGCACGAAAGGCGUAACGACUUGGGCGCUGUCUCAACGAGGGACCCGGUGAAAUUGUAGUACCUGUGAAGAUGCAGGUUACCUGCGACAAGACGGAAAGACCCCGUGGAGCUUUACUGUAGCCUGAUAUUGGAUUUUGGUAUUGAAUGUACAGGAUAGGUGGGAGGCUGAGAACUCCGGGCGCUAGCCUGGAGGGAGCCAACCUUGGGAUACCACCCUUUCAAUGCUGGGAUUCUAACCAGAAACCGUUAUCCGGUUUUGGGACAGUGUCAGGUGGGCAGUUUGACUGGGGCGGUCGCCUCCCAAAGAGUAACGGAGGCGCCCAAAGGUUCCCUCAGCGCGGUCGGGAAUCGCGCGUAGAGUGUAAAGGCAUAAGGGAGCUUAACUGCGAGACCGACGGGUCGAGCAGGUGGGAAACCAGGGCUUAGUGAUCCGGCGGUGCCGAGUGGAAGGGCCGUCGCUCAACGGAUAAAAGCUACCCCGGGGAUAACAGGCUUAUCUCCCCCAAGAGUCCA
rnacentral:rRNA from 1 species